GACGAACGCUGGCGGCGUGCCUAAUACAUGCAAGUAGAACGCUGAAGAGAGGAGCUUGCUCUUCUUGGAUGAGUUGCGAACGGGUGAGUAACGCGUAGGUAACCUGCCUUGUAGCGGGGGAUAACUAUUGGAAACGAUAGCUAAUACCGCAUAACAAUGGAUGACACAUGUCAUUUAUUUGAAAGGGGCAAUUGCUCCACUACAAGAUGGACCUGCGUUGUAUUAGCUAGUAGGUGAGGUAAUGGCUCACCUAGGCGACGAUACAUAGCCGACCUGAGAGGGUGAUCGGCCACACUGGGACUGAGACACGGCCCAGACUCCUACGGGAGGCAGCAGUAGGGAAUCUUCGGCAAUGGGGGCAACCCUGACCGAGCAACGCCGCGUGAGUGAAGAAGGUUUUCGGAUCGUAAAGCUCUGUUGUAAGUCAAGAACGGGUGUGAGAGUGGAAAGUUCACACUGUGACGGUAGCUUACCAGAAAGGGACGGCUAACUACGUGCCAGCAGCCGCGGUAAUACGUAGGUCCCGAGCGUUGUCCGGAUUUAUUGGGCGUAAAGCGAGCGCAGGCGGUUUGAUAAGUCUGAAGUUAAAGGCUGUGGCUCAACCAUAGUUCGCUUUGGAAACUGUCAAACUUGAGUGCAGAAGGGGAGAGUGGAAUUCCAUGUGUAGCGGUGAAAUGCGUAGAUAUAUGGAGGAACACCGGUGGCGAAAGCGGCUCUCUGGUCUGUAACUGACGCUGAGGCUCGAAAGCGUGGGGAGCGAACAGGAUUAGAUACCCUGGUAGUCCACGCCGUAAACGAUGAGUGCUAGGUGUUGGAUCCUUUCCGGGAUUCAGUGCCGCAGCUAACGCAUUAAGCACUCCGCCUGGGGAGUACGACCGCAAGGUUGAAACUCAAAGGAAUUGACGGGGGCCCGCACAAGCGGUGGAGCAUGUGGUUUAAUUCGAAGCAACGCGAAGAACCUUACCAGGUCUUGACAUCCCGAUGCUAUUUCUAGAGAUAGAAAGUUACUUCGGUACAUCGGUGACAGGUGGUGCAUGGUUGUCGUCAGCUCGUGUCGUGAGAUGUUGGGUUAAGUCCCGCAACGAGCGCAACCCCUAUUGUUAGUUGCCAUCAUUCAGUUGGGCACUCUAGCGAGACUGCCGGUAAUAAACCGGAGGAAGGUGGGGAUGACGUCAAAUCAUCAUGCCCCUUAUGACCUGGGCUACACACGUGCUACAAUGGUUGGUACAACGAGUUGCGAGUCGGUGACGGCGAGCUAAUCUCUUAAAGCCAAUCUCAGUUCGGAUUGUAGGCUGCAACUCGCCUACAUGAAGUCGGAAUCGCUAGUAAUCGCGGAUCAGCACGCCGCGGUGAAUACGUUCCCGGGCCUUGUACACACCGCCCGUCACACCACGAGAGUUUGUAACACCCGAAGUCGGUGAGGUAACCUUUUGGAGCCAGCCGCCUAAGGUGGGACAGAUGAUUGGGGUGAAG
rnacentral:rRNA from 2 species